AGGAUGAACGCUAGCUGGAGGCUUAAUACAUGCAAGUCGAGCGGGAUUGGUAGCAAUACCAUGAGAGCGGCGCACGGGUGAGUAACGCGUACACGACCUACCUCUGACAGGGGGAUAGCCCUGGGAAACUGGGAUUAAUACCGCAUAUUAUUCUGAUUAAUAAAGGAUUGGAAUGAAAGUUCAGGCGGUCAGAGAUGGGUGUGCGUCUGAUUAGCUAGUUGGUAGGGUAACGGCCUACCAAGGCGAUGAUCAGUAGGGGGCGUGAGAGCGUGGUCCCCCACACGGGUACUGAGACACGGACCCGACUCCUACGGGAGGCAGCAGUAAGGAAUAUUGGACAAUGGCCGAAAGGCUGAUCCAGCCAUCCAGCGUGCAGGAAGAAGGCCCUAUGGGUUGUAAACUGCUUUUAUCAGGGAAUAAACCUCUGGAUUCACUCCGGAGCUGAAGGUACCUGAAGAAUAAGCACCGGCUAACUCCGUG
rnacentral:rRNA from 1 species